CUGGCCUGGAGUAGGUGCUCACACGCUGCCUGUUGAAAGAAGGGAUGGAUUUGUUCCGGAGCAAAUCCUGAAAGGAAAAGCGGCAUCCUCGGACCCAUCUCUCGCUUCCCACCCCAAGUUCAUCAAGCAGCCCUGCCCCACCCCCUCAAGCAGGCAAAUCUUCUCCCAGACCUUUCUCUGUGCCCAGGUUAUGUUAUCAUCCCGAGGGGAAUCCUUUAAAGAUGCCUGGAACACCGGAAGGAACCAGGGCUCCUUGGAGAAAUAGCUGAUUACUAACGAGGGCGGAAAUGUCCAAGAUGAGCCUACAUGACUGUGCCAGAAAACACAAUCAAAAAGUGGCCCAGGAGUCAGCUGGAGAGUCUUACUGGCUAAAGCUAAAGACAGGAAAGAGAAUUUGGACGGUAUUGCUGGGAGAGCCACAGAACUAAUUCAUCUGGGCCUGCAGUAGGAAUUGAAGAUUCCCACAAAAAAGUUCAAUGAAUUAGGUUUAUUCAACUUAGAGAUGCGCAACCUUAGAAGAGGAAUUCCAAUAUAAAUGAAGCUGUUUCUGAAGACCAGCACUAGGAAUGCGCACAGUGAGGACUUUCCUGUGAUCAUAGAGCUGAUUU